AGAAAUCCGAAAUCAGUUUUGCAGCACUAAAGUCAAAGUGUUGGCAGGGCAAGAACUUCAGUCCUAUAACUGCAAGGAACUGAAUUCUGCCAGCGGUGAGCUUAGAAGAGGAUUGUGAGCCUCAGAUGAGAUAGCAGCCCAGACUGACAUGUUGACUGCAGCCUUGUGGGACCCUGAAUCGAGGACUCCUUCAAGCUGUGCCUGGACUCCAGACCCAUGGAAACCACUUUCAUUAUGGUCCAGCUGAACCAGCUGCUGCCCCUCUCCUUGUAAACUUCAUGUUACAUCCCGGAAGAACUGGAGGAGAAUCAGUUUCCCAUGUAGCAGCUAUUGGGGAUGGAUAGUGGAGCUGAUACUGUAACUGGAGACAGAGGAGAAAGGCUGAGACAGACCAUGCAAUCAGAUAACUUCAAGGAAGGAUGAGAUUAGUUCAAGAAGAUCAACAUGGAGAAUGAAAGAAUAGAAAAUAGCAAGAAGUUACCUUCUUUUCAAAAAGUCCUGUCUGUGGCAAUGUGGAAAAAAGUGACUUGAAUGGGAGCCGGAAACUUGGAGCUCUAGUAAUUACUCCUCCACCAACCAGCUGUGUGAUGCAGGCCAGUCACAUGGCUUCUCGUCCCCUCCUCUGUCUCCAGGUCCUGAAGAUAUCUUCAUAUGGCUGCUGACUAGCAGAGCACCUAAAUCUGUGACACCUAUUUUUA